GACUAUGGCCAUACCACCCAGAUUGUACCCAAUCUCAUCUGCACUUUGAAGUCAAGCCGGGGGCAGAUCUGGUUAGAAGUUAGAGAGGAGACCACUUGGGAGCAGAGGGUUUUAGUCA
rnacentral:rRNA from 1 species